rnacentral:rRNA from 1 species
GGGACUUCGGUCCUGAGUAUAGUGGCGCACGGGUGAGUAACACGUGAAUAAUCUACCUCCGAGUGGGGAAUAACUGAGAGAAAUCUUAGCUAAUACCGCAUAACACUUACGAGUCAAAGCAGCAAUGCGCUUGGAGAGGAGUUCGCGGCCGAUUAGUUAGUUGGCGGGGUAAUGGCCCACCAAGACGAUGAUCGGUAUCCGGCCUGAGAGGGCGCACGGACACACUGGAACUGAAACACGGUCCAGACUCCUACGGGAGGCAGCAGUGGGGAAUUUUGCGCAAUGGGGGAAACCCUGACGCAGCAACGCCGCGUGGAGGAUGAAGUAUCUCGGUACGUAAACUCCUUUCGAUGGGGAAGAUAAUGACGGUACCCAUAGAAGAAGCCCCGGCUAACUUCGUGCCAACAGCCGCGGUAAUACGAGGGGGGCAAGCGUUGUUCGGAUUUAUUGGGCGUAAAGGGUGCGUAGGCGGUUUGGCAAGUCUUGUGUGAAAUCUAUGGGCUCAACCCAUAGCCUGCACGAGAAACUACCGGGCUUGAGUAUUGGAGAGGUGAGUGGAAUUUCCGGUGUAGCGGUGAAAUGCGUAGAUAUCGGAAGGAACACCUGUGGCGAAAGCGGCUCACUGGACAAUAACUGACGCUGAUGCACGAAAGCUAGGGGAGCAAACAGGAUUAGAUACCCUGGUAGUCCUA